GUAUGAUUCAUUCAGUUAUCUCUCCAUUUUCAUUAUUCAUUCAUGAAGCUGAUAUUUACUGCCUAUUUGAGGCAUCCUGCUGGGUAAAAAGAAAUGUAUCAGUGAUGAGUCACAUCAGGAUUCUUUAGAGGCAGACUAGUCGUUCUUUUUAAAUGACUGCAAAUUAGUUCUAAGAUACAACAUAGGAUAAAAAACCAUUACUCCCAGUUCCUUUGAUUUGUGAAGUUACCAAGGUUACAAUGAUAAAGGGAAGACAGCCUAAGUAGAUGUUAAAAUGUUAGGUUAAGAAAAUAAACUAACACUUUACCAUGAACCUGAAAAAAAAAUCCUUAUUAAACAUCUGUGUGUUACCUUUUCAGUGCCAUCAUUGAUGGAAAACUCAUUUUUUAAAAAUUAAGUAUUUCAUGGGAAAAUCAAAUAAGACAAUCCAAUAUGAGGUAGGCCUUCUGACAUCAGUAAUUUUCAAAAAAAUAAAAAGCAAUGCUACACAGAAAGAGGAAGGAGUGUAUUUUGUUUGUAGCUCAAUACAAGACAAACAUUUAAUUUAACAUUUCAUGAACUCUAUUUGUAAGUUUCAUACAGAAAGUUUUUUAAAUAUGCUUUGAUAUACUGUACAAUGCAAUAAUGUUUUCUAAAGGACCUAAUGAAUUUUGCAAUGUUCUAUGUGUGUUGAAUUUAAUAAACAGAAAUCUAUGAGGAACUUUGAAUCUUAAAGGUGACUGUUCAGUAGUUCUGCAGAAAUUCUUUGAGUUUCAAUCAAAUGUAAACUGACUGAAGCACCUUCUGUGAUAAAACUGAAGCUCUGCACUUUCUGUUCCUUUCAAGCAAGUAGCUUUGUCUUCUAGUAACUCCCCUAAAAGCUUCCAGUUCAAUGGAUGAACUUCUUCUUUUACUUCACUAAGAAAAGGUCAAAUUCUAUUUUCUCCUCCAAUCACCUCUCACCACUUACAAGCACUGCGAUGCGGGGUGAGUUAUUGAAAAUUCUAUUUUACCUUGAGAUGCUGCAGUUAGUGCUUUUAAGGCUUCUAAUCAGAGCUGGCACUUUUCUGUCCCUGCUGAUUCUUUUACUGCUGAAAUUAUUUCUCCUUUAUUCUAGGUGUUUAAAGCAGUCUCAGAAAGGUUUCCCUCUGAAUCUUCAUGUAUAUUUACAUGUUACUGUCUGAGCCUAUCUUAUAAUGGAUUGAUCUUAGGAUUGUUUCUAUUUGGUGAAAUGGUAAAAAUAUGAAAUAGCUCACCAUAAAAUAGUGUAAGAGGAUAUCAUCAAAGAUACAUACUCAGCACCUAGUUGGCUUAGAGAAAAAAGUGCCACGAGUAUGCAAAGUUAUUUUAUUAGAUAACGUAUACAUAACAUGUAAAGGUAUGUGUAUAUGUUUGCAUGUGUUAUAUAUGUGUGUAUAUGUGGGUGUAAAUGCAAUGUCUGCAAAUUGUUUGCAUUUCAACAUAGCUUCCUUUGGGGAUGGACAAGGAAGAUUGAGAUGGUAUUUAUGACUCCACUAUUUAAACAUUUUGGUUAAACACAUUUCUCUUUUUUUAACAUAGGUAAUUGUGACAUCAAUAAUGUUAAUUUAGGGGUUUGGUGAGUUUAGCUUAAGACACCUAUUUGUAAGGAAUCCUUACUAUUCAAAAUAAUUGACAACAAUUAAGUCUAUGGCAAUCGAUUGAUAGUAAUGCUUUAGUUUUGGUCACAAUCAUUAAAUAGCCUCAUGUUUGCUAUAAGAAAAUAAUCACAUGUUCCAGCAUAAAAAUAUUUCAAUUCUUUCUAAAUCAGCUAAAUGUUACAUUAAUUAUUUAACAGAUGACACAUAUGGAACCAAAUUUUAAACAUUUAGCUGCAUUGAAUUAUGAAAUUAUGAAGUCAUUCUUAAUCUAAACCCAUUCAUUUAUUCAUUCUUUAUUAGAAAACUCUUCCUAUAAUGCACUCCAAAUGCUGUCAUGGAAUUGCAACUUUUCUAGGAGAUAGGAAUAAUUUUAUGGCUCCGCAGCAUUAACUGGAUAAAGUUUGCACAGUCUCAAUUACAGUACAGGCUGAGCUUCCAUUUCUGUUGUCCUCUACUUUAUAUUGACUUCCAAAUACAUUGAAGAAACAAAGCAAAAAUAAAUAUAUGAAAGUAACUGAGACAUAGAAAAAAUGUUAAUAGGCGACCUUGUGUAGACAUUCUUUAAAUACCUGCCUGAGAUCUGUCCUUAAACUGUCAAGAUGGUAAGUAAACCAGUACGUUUACUCACUGUCUCAAUACUGAGUUUAUUCUGACAAAAACUUCCAAUGAUAAUUUAUAUAAGCCUCACUGUGACAAGGUUCAUAUAAAUAUAUUACUGUGAUUCUAAUGUAAUGUCAUGACUGUGAUGUUAUUUUAAAGAGAAAUUCUGGAACAUGUGAGUUCAAAGACAUGCUGAAAUCUAUUCCCUCCUCUUGUGUCAUGAGCUCUGGCUUCCAAUGAGACACAGUUAUUUAGAUGAAACCUGGGGUCAUGUGGUCAAUUGUCAGGUUAUUUAAUAAUAUAUAUUUAGGAGGUAUUUCAUAGUAUUCAAAGAAGAAUAGAAUUAAAAUCCGAGGAUUUUGUUUCUAAUCUAGAUCUGUCACUUAUUGACUUAUAUAGUCAUGGUAGUUGUCUAAGGUUUCAUCAUUUCUAAAUCAAGAGGCUGUACUCAGUGACCAGUUUACUUGAUAUUAGUAUAAAUUUUAUAAGCUUGAAAAGCAUAGCUAAAAGAAACUAUUAGUCUGACUCAGUGAUCUCAUUCCUUAGUCCUCAUUCUUACCCUCACUCUGAGUGCUAGUGCAUGUUUGUGUGUGUGUGUACUAUAGGCAGUGGCACUGAGGGGCAAGAAAAAGUAAAAUAGGCACAAAAGUGAAAAGGCAUAAUUAAUUUUACUUUGUGAAAUGAAAGUAAUAAACUGUGUCCCAUUUUAGCCCUGAAGCUGCUCUUCAUUUAUAAAAUAUGGAUAACUAUGACCCAUAGAGCUUAAUGAGUAACAGAAGAAAUUGUGUAUGCCAAGUAUUUACUACACUACAGUGACUUGAUAGAGAUGUUCUUGAGCAUUGAAUCAUUACGAUAUUGCACACUCUCACCCUUUAAGGCAAGAUAGGCAAGGGGUGAUCAUUGUCAUCUUGGAAAUAUUUGGGGUUUAAAUAAUCAAAACAUAAAUGGGACUCCUUUAUAUUAUUUCAGACAUCCAAGAAAUAAUAUGGUCAUGGAAGAUUAAAAUACAAAUAGCCUAUGCUCAAUUUCAGUUUAAUCUGUGAGCUAACCUCUUACAUGUUAUUGCAGCCUCUAGUGAGUAAUGAGUAUUAACAUCGGAGUGAUUUGAAAACCACUGAUUCCUUGACUUAAACUUUCUGAGAAUAAAUACAGAAUUAAUUAUAAGCAGUGUUAAAUGACAGGGUAAGGAAAUGGCCUGUAGAAUACCACCCCUGAAAUGUCAAAAAGGUGGUAAAUUUCCUUUUCUACGUAGUCCAAUAAAAAACUCUCCCUACACCUCAUUUUUAAUUGACAAGAAUCCCUUCUUCAUCUACAAGUACUCUUCAUUGAUUCUAUAAUCUAUUUCCAAGGAUCUAACCAUAGAAAUUUUUACUUGAACCAUGAAUGAUUAAUUUAUGUCAGGGUAUUGUUUUCAGAGCAUUUUGACGAUCUAUUAACAUUCAGGUUAACACAGGUUACCCUAGCAGCUCACCACUCACAUGUUACUUGCAGACUAUACUACUGUCAUUUUGAGUACUAAAGAAGGUCCAGGGUAAAUAAAUGAAAAUGGAAAGAAAAAAUCUUUCAAAUAUAUAGGUACUAAGAAGAUCAGACAAUGUUUAGAAAUAAAAGUGUUGAAAGAUAUGGUGAAUGGGGGAAUGUAGCUGAAGUCUAGAAGUAAAUAGGUAAAUCCAUAAUGAAAAAGGACAUUCUAUUUGUGGAGAUACCUUAAAGGAUUUUUAAAAAAUGGUAGUGAGGUUUGAAGGUCCUACAUCAUGUAGAAACCCAGAGACCGACUAAAAAUAUAAAUUGAUUAAAUAAUUUUAAGUAACAUUAAGAAUAUUAUAUACAUAAGUUGUUAAGAGGAAGCCAGUUGGAUUCAGGGCAUGUUUCUAACGUUUUGAGAUCAACAGUGUGGUGAAUGACCAUUGUGUUCCAUCACAAAACGUCUUCUGACAACACCGUCAGAAGGACAUGUUUACCCCACAUGGCACUGCUUAUGUCUUUAAGUUCCUUGACUCCUCCUUUGUUGCUAUGGUUUGAAUGUUUUUGUAUAUUCUAAAACUCAUGGUGAAAUUUAAUAGCCAAGGUAACAGUAUUGAGUUGGGGCCUUUAAAAGCGAUUAAACCAUGAAUUAAUAAAUGUUGUAGUAAGAAAAGGCUUAGGGGAGUGCACACUCUUUCCUUGCCCUUUUGCCAUAUAAACAUGAAGCCUUCCUUCCCUCUAAAGAACAUAGUAUUCAAGGCAUCAUCUAGGAUCAGAAUUGCCAAACCUGCAUUGAUACUGCACUUCCCAGCUUCCAGAACUGUGAGCCAGUAAAUUUUUAUUCUUUGUAAGUUGCCCAGUCUAUGGUGUUCUGUUAUAGUAGCAUAAAUGGGAUAUUACAUUCACUCUUCUCUACAUGGUAAUAUUUUUAGAUUACCUAUAGCCUCAUUUAUCAUCUCUGAUUCCUUUCUCUUCAUAGUCCUGACAAAAGAAUGCAUAAGAUUUUGUAAUUGAUCCAAAGACCAGUAUUAUCAAGAAAAAGUUCAUGGAAAUGGUUAUAGGCAAGCUCUAUUGCCAAAUUUAAUUCAGUGUAGCAUAUUUGAUCUAUACUUAUGUCUGUAUCUAUAUUGAUAUCUAUAUGUCUAUGUCUAUAUAUAUAUAUUUAUAACCUCUUAACCGUAUUGUCAGGAGAUCUAUUUCUUUGGCUUAUGAAGUAAGUCUUGCUAAAUUUAUCCUAAAAGCUUAUAUUUUUAAUCUGAAUUUUUGUUUUUUGUUUUUUGUUUUUUUUUGCAUUUCUUCCUUCUAUUGACUCUGGCUCACUGAGUGCCUAGGGUGCAUCAAAAGACCAGUGUAUUGGGACACCUGACAUAAGAGUCUGCUGAGUGUGCCAGCAAGGAGCUAAUGAUUCAGCAGAAAUGCCAUGAAUGAUGAAGCCAGACUUGCCAGUUGCUGUGCUUUAGUUUUCCUGUUGACCUUGAGCUCCCACAGAACAUGGAUGACCACCAUCACACUGUUUAUGAUGCUGUAUUGCACUUGACUGCUCAUUUGUCAUCCUUAUAAUGUGCAGAGUGCCUUGGACUGACAAACUGAAAUACAUUUUGAUUAGGCAACAUGAGCAGAAGGAGUGUGGGGAGAGAACUGUAUAAAUCUGUUUUACUCAACCUUGAAGAAAUGUUAAGUGUUAAUUCCCUGCAUCAAAUAGAGUACACCAAGUAUAUAUGCAGCGUUCCUGAGAGCUUCCUAAUGAACUGAAAAAACAAACAAUCUGAGGUGGGAAGAAAUACAUUUCAUCAACCCCCUGAGCAGCGAUGAUUUGCCUCAGCUUGUCAUACAUACUUGAUUCUGAUUAAAAUAAGACAAAUGAACUAGUUGAAUCUUUCUUGUUAAAGAAAUUGCAUUUGUUGUUAGUAGAAUUUCAAAUUUCACGUAAUAUGGAAUCUGUAUGUUGAUUGUUGUUAUGGAGACUAGCAAGGUGCUGAAACUAUUGAGCUGAGGAGCAUAUUUUAGUGACUAUAACUGGUUUGAGAAUUGGUUGCUUUUAAGUGACCCAAAUGACCAUGGUGAUGAGAUUGGAUGUGAGAAGCCUGGAUAAAGAGGCAUUCAAACUUGUAAUUAAAAUAAAAGCUUCCUCAAAUUA